rnacentral:rRNA from 1 species
CCUACGGGGGGCAGCAGUGGGGAAUUUUGGACAAUGGGGGCAACCCUGAUCCAGCCAUGCCGCGGGAGUGAAGAAGGCCUUCGGGUGGUAAAGCUCUUUCGGCCGGGAAGAAAUCGCUCAAGCUAAUACCUUGGGUGGAUGACGGUACCGGAAGAAGAAGCACCGGCUAACUACGUGCGAGCAGCCGCGGUAAAACGUAGGGGGCGAGCGGGAAUCGGAAUGACUGGGCGCAGAGCGUUCGCAGGCGGCGGAAAUCCCCGGGCUUAACCUGGGAACUGCGUUUGUGACUGUGGUGCUCGAGUGCGGCAGAGGGGGGUGGAAUUCCACGUGUAGCAGUGAAAUGCGUAGAGAUGUGGAGGAACACCGAUGGCGAAGGCAGCCCCCUGGGUCGACACUGACGCUCAUGCACGAAAGCUUGGGGAGCAAACAGGAUUAGAUACCCUAGUAGUC